UAGGAUAUGGUGUAAUUAGGUAGCACGAAGAUUUUUGAGUUCUUAAGAUUAGGUU
rnacentral:tRNA from 1 species